CCGCCUCCUCGCCGUGUCGGCCGCCGCCGCUCCCGCGCCCUCGGCCCCGUCAGCCCGCGUGGUCCGCGCGCCGCAGGACGGAAGGAUCCAAUAUUUGGGAGUAUGCUUGAGAAAACAGAGCUUCAGGAAAAGCUGAGAAUGACCUCUCUUUGGCUGACUCACUCUGACUUUAAAGUAAUAUGUCUUUACAGAACAUGGUGAAAGAAGAGAGUCAAGUUGGCAAUUAGGUGUUCUCUUAACUGCCUACUUUGAUUGAUUGUGAUGGGCCACCUGGAACAUGGUGUUAAGAAGCAUUUUCGGCCCAAUUCCAGGCUCAGUGGAAAAGAGGAAAAUCCUUACUUUUUGCUACAGGUAAAACAAUAGUGAGUAACAAUGUUUGCUGGGAGUAGGUUGGGGUCAGGAUUUGGCCCAAGCUUAUUACUGACAAAUUGAAACAUAUACAGGGGUUGGACCAUGUGGCAGGAUUAAUUGUAUGACUAUGGGGGAGGUGAUGAGGUAUGUUAGGUGGCAGAAGUGCACAGACAAGAUGGAAACGGGUGCUUAGGGUGUAUAUCCAAGAUCUAGGCCCAAAAUAAUCACAACAACCAGCUUGGGGAUGGAGAUGCUGUCAGAUUACACCAAAGGGAAUGAGCUAUCAAUGAAAGAUUUUUUUUUUUUAAUGCAGUGACUUGGGUCCUAUUGUUCCAGAUCCAGCAUUUUAAUCCUGGCACUUGAUGGCAAUGGAUACAAGAGUGACAAAAGAUGAGGGUGUCAUGAAACCAUCAGUUUGCCAAGUCAUACUGAGUCAUUCAUCUGGAGGACAGCCGAAGGGGUUAAUUAAAAACAGCUGCAUCUAAUCAUACUG
rnacentral:lncRNA from 1 species